CCUUGAUUGAGGUUUCGGCCAAAUGAUAGGAAUGCUUAGUGGCGGACUGGUGAGUAACGCGUGAGGAACCUGCCUUUCAGAGGGGGACAACAGUUGGAAACGACUGCUAAUACCGCAUGACGCAUUUUGAUCGCAUGGUCGAAAUGCCAAAGAUUUAUCGCUGAAAGAUGGCCUCGCGUCUGAUUAGCUAGUUGGUGAGGUAACGGCCCACCAAGGCGACGAUCAGUAGCCGGACUGAGAGGUUGACCGGCCACAUUGGGACUGAGAUACGGCCCAGACUCCUACGGGAGGCAGCAGUGGGGAAUAUUGGGCAAUGGGCGCAAGCCUGACCCAGCAACGCCGCGUGAAGGAAGAAGGCUUUCGGGUUGUAAACUUCUUUUAAGUGGGAAGAGUAGAAGACGGUACCACUUGAAUAAGCCACGGCUAACUACGUGCCAGCAGCCGCGGUAAUACGUAGGUGGCAAGCGUUGUCCGGAUUUACUGGGUGUAAAGGGCGUGCAGCCGGGCAUGCAAGUCAGAUGUGAAAUCUCAGGGCUUAACCCUGAAACUGCAUUUGAAACUGUAUGUCUUGAGUGCCGGAGAGGUAAUCGGAAUUCCUUGUGUAGCGGUGAAGUGCGUAGAUAUAAGGAAGAACACCAGUGGCGAAGGCGGAUUACUGGACGGUAACUGACGGUGAGGCGCGAAAGCGUGGGG
rnacentral:rRNA from 1 species